rnacentral:rRNA from 1 species
GCUGGCGGCAGGCCUAACACAUGCAAGUCGAGCGGUAACAUUUCUAGCUUGCUAGAAGAUGACGAGCGGCGGACGGGUGAGUAACGCGUAGAAAUCUACCUAGUAGUGGGGGAUAGCCCAGAGAAAUUUGGAUUAAUACCGCAUACGCCCUACGGGGGAAAGCGGGGGAUCUUCGGACCUCGUGCUAUUAGAUGAGUCUGCGUCGGAUUAGCUUGUUGGUGAGGUAAUGGCUCACCAAGGCGACGAUCCGUAGCUGGUCUGAGAGGAUGACCAGCCACACUGGAACUGAGACACGGUCCAGACUCCUACGGGAGGCAGCAGUGGGGAAUAUUGCACAAUGGGCGCAAGCCUGAUGCAGCCACGCCGCGUGUGUGAAGAAGGCCUUAGGGUUGUAAAGCACUUUCAGCAGUGAGGAAAGGGGUGUCGUUAAUAGCGCCAUCCUGUGACGUUAACUGCAGAAGAAGGACCGGCUAACUCCGUG